GACGAACGCUGGCGGCGUGCCUAAUACAUGCAAGUAGAACGCUGAAGAGAGGAGCUUACUCUUCUUGGAUGAGUUGCGAACGGGUGAGUAACGCGUAGGUAACCUGCCUUGUAGCGGGGGAUAACUAUUGGAAACGAUAGCUAGUACCGCAUAACAAUGGAUGACACAUGUCAUUUAUUUGAAAGGGGCAAUUGCUCCACUACAAGAUGGACCUGCGUUGUAUUAGCUAGUAGGUGAGGUAAUGGCUCACCUAGGCGACGAUACAUAGCCGACCUGAGAGGGUGAUCGGCCACACUGGGACUGAGACACGGCCCAGACUCCUACGGGAGGCAGCAGUAGGGAAUCUUCGGCAAUGGGGGCAACCCUGACCGAGCAACGCCGCGUGAGUGAAGAAGGUUUUCGGAUCGUAAAGCUCUGUUGUAAGUCAAGAACGGGUGUGAGAGUGGAAAGUUCACACUGUGACGGUAGCUUACAGAAAGGGACGGCUAACUACGUG
rnacentral:rRNA from 1 species